rnacentral:tRNA from 2 species
GGGCGAUUAGUUCAGGGGAUAGAACGCUGGUCUCCGGAACCAGAGGUCGCGCGUUCGAAUCGCGCAUCGCCCUCCA